UUACGACUACAUAUCAGGCAUAUCAAUAAGCGGAGGAAAAGAAACUAACUAGGAUUCCCUCAGUAACGGCGAGUGAAGCGGGAAGAGCUCAAAUUUGAAAUCUUCAAGGUUCUACCUUGACGAAUUGUAGUUUAAAGAAGUGUUUUCUGUUGGAGUUUUGGUAAAAGUUCUUUGGAAUAGGACAUCAUAGAGGGUGAGAAUCCCGUAUUUGACCAUUAUUUCCAGCUUUGUGAUACACUUUCAAAGAGUCGGAUUGUUUGGGAAUGCAGUCCAAAAUGGGUGGUAAAUUUCAUCUAAAGCUAAAUAUUGGCGAGAGACCGAUAGCGAACAAGUACCGUGAGGGAAAGAUGAAAAGAACUUUGAAAAGAGAGUUAAACAGUACGUGAAAUUGUCAAAAGGGAAGCGUUUGACACCAGUGUUGUUUUCUCGAAAAUCAAUUAAAAAGAGCUGGAUUUUGUGUUGUAUUGACCUUAAUCAGCUUGCUUCACUCUUUUCAUGUCUUAUUUAAUGCACUUUUCGUUUAACAAGUCAACAUCAGUUUCUUUUGUUGUAAAAGGGUCAUUGGAAGGUGGCUUUCUCUUCGGAGAAAGUGUUUAUAGCCUUUGCUCUCUGCAAUCGGAGAGAUUGAGGUCUGCAGCGUAGAUCCUUCGGGGUUAGAUACAUUUGUGCUAAGUUAUAGCCUUUUCAUAGACAACUUGUUGACUAUGAUUCAGUCAUGUGACUUACUCGCUUAUGCUAUUUUACCUACGCUUAGGAUGUUGAGCGCAUGUCUCUCUCU
rnacentral:rRNA from 1 species